UACGUAGGGGGGCUAGCGUUGUCCGGAAUCAUUGGGCGUAAAGAGCGUGUAGGCGGCCCGGUAAGUCCGCUGUGAAAGUCGGGGGCUCAACCCUCGAAUGCCGGUGGAUACUGUCGGGCUAGAGUGCGGAAGAGGCGAGUGGAAUUCCUGGUGUAGCGGUGAAAUGCGUAGAUAUCUGGAGGAACACCGGUGGCGAAGGCGGCAUCCUGGACCAAUAUUGACGCUGAGGAGCGAAAGCCAGGGGAGCAAACGGG
rnacentral:rRNA from 1 species